rnacentral:misc_RNA from 1 species
GCGAGGGCGUCAUACACCGGCAGAUUCACCGGCAAGAAACAAUGCCGCUGUGCAAGAUUAGAUAGAAUGCCCGUCUCGAUAUACACCUACACAUGAGGAGAAUACGAUUUUAUUAAUAGAAUUUUUCAAAUAUUAUACUGAAGUAUCAAGCUGGUGACUACGUUCUUCAACUAAAUUAUCUCGUGUAUCAAGAGAGAGUAGAAGAAGUAGCUUCCGACGUCUGUCUACGACAAUUUCGGGCAUGAAGUUAACAGCGUGGAAUUCUGUGUGCAUCCUGAUAGUUGUCUUCUUCCUAACGGUUGCCACGUCUGCAUAUCCUGCUGGCAAUCCAGAGAUAACGUAUAACUUGCAGGCGAUUGAGAAUAUGCGACAGAUCCCACAGUGGCACUGUUUACGCUAUAGAAAAUUCGAUCUCGUACGCCGCUGUCGGAAUUACCGUUUAGGAAGGAAACACUGACAAAAACAAACUCAUCGCAAUCCCGUAUGGACGACCGCAACGAAUAAGUCACAAUAUUUCAAGUUUCAUCGACCAGCUGUUCUAAAUGUUCUGCUGCAAAUACUUAAACUUAUAUAUAAAUGAAAUGAGAUGUGGCACGUCAUAUUAACACUUUGGAAUUACUUAUGAACUUAGUUGAUAAAUGCAACUUGCAUAGAUUAUAAUUUAAUUCUUCGCGUCUCGUUAUUUACUGCAAGACUGUAUUUCCAAGACUUCAAAAUUUAUCUUCAUCUUUUAAUUUGUAUAAAAUAGAAACAGGAAAGAAAAUAGAUAAAAAGAUGAGAAUAUCUUACGGGAUUAACAGUUUCCAUUUUCCUAAGAUUAAAACUUCGAUAAAGAUUACUCUAUAUUGUAUUAAGUUAUUAAUAUUACUUGUACUUCUAUAUUUCCUACUUAAUUAUUUAUACUAUAUUGUACGAGAAAUUGUGUAUAUAUAAACGCUCUUUGAUCUCAUUGUAAGAUGAGAAUAUGUUCUAGAAUAAAAUUAUUUUUUCUAUCACGAAAUUAUUUUGAGAUGAAUAUCACCUACCUGGCGGAUCAUACAUCUUCUAAUUAUAACAUAAAUAUAUAAUUAAAAUAUAAAUUGCAAAGGUAUAUUUUUUUUUACUUACCUCUUUCACCAUUCCUUUUCCUGUUCUCAGUUGUUCGUGCAUAAAUGGAGCGGGUACUUCCUUGUCUGUGGUAGUCGUGCUCGCUAUUAAAUUGCUAAAGGCGGUCGCAGGAACUAUUGCAUUCGUAGAUAAAAUUUCAAGAGAAAUAGUCACUUCGGAUUCUGGUUCUAACGUUAAUAAUUCCUAUUUAUAAAACAAUUAAAUAUAUAUAGUACAUAUAAUCAUUGUAUUGGAUGAUUCAAUAAAUGUACAGAUAUUUUGUAUCAACACGUUUUGCAUACAUUUGCCGUGUACGUACUUGAUUAGAAUCUAAAAAGAAAAGCUGCGAUUUUCGUUGCCACAAUCUGUA